GCCAAUUGCACAGGCAGAAUAUUCCCCUCUCCUUGUAUCCCUUCUCCCAGCUCCACCGUCUCGCCGAGUGCCAGCAAGAGUCAUGAGUACUUGUCAACUCGACUCCUCAACUGGAGAUAACUUUCUAGCACCUCACCAUGGGGAAGGACGCAUUCAUAUGCCUUCACCAGCACCUGCAUUAAACAUGCAGAGACA